GGGAGGCUACCCCGGUAGGUAGAUUGGGAGAGGCGGGAGGUGGCCUCGUGGUGGCGGGGCUUCUCUUAGGGAGGGAGUCGGAGGAGGAGGAGGAGGCGAGGUGAUUGAGCCUAAGUAAGUAGGAAGUUCGGGUGGGUCAGACGGCGACUAAGCAGACGACGAGCCGCCUCAUGGUCGUCGUGGCGUCGUGCUCUAAGGCUCCCAAGUCGAGACGGGCGGGUGGGCGGCCGGGGGUACAGGCGGGGGCGCCGCUUCGUCCCGCGCCUCCUCCUCCGGCUCGCGGAGGAGCGCCGGCGGUUCGACUUGGGGUUGCUGCCGCCCGGGAAGGCGAGGGAGCCGGUGGUGAUGCGGGCGCGGCCGCUGCGCGUCGCGCGGCGGUCCACGAAGCUCGCCCGGCACCGCGAGCUGGGGCUGCUGCGGCUCAGGCCCCUCCGCGAGACGCUAAACGAACUGCGCCUCCCCUUCCUCUCGGACCUCGAGCGGCACACGUUCCUCCGACGGCCGUUCAGUGGCGCGCGCAAAACCCGGAAGGCCUCUGAGCCGAUGAACGUCCAAGUAGUUUUCUUCACCAGUCUACGAUAUGUCUCGGAAGUUGUGAGUUAUGCUCCAAUGGGUUGUACACGCCUAAAUACCCUCCGUGAACCAGACCGAAUGGUGGCAAACCCGUACAAAUGACGACGUCAUUUCAGUAUACCCGCUCGAUAACUUGAACUAUCAAGGGCCCAGAAACGAAACUAGCUUUCACCUUUGUAGGUCGAUUACGAACCGAUAAAGUCUUUCCCUCAGCUUGUCAAGGCAAGACGGCACCUCUACCGAGGAGUAUUAGUAAGACGUAUGAAACCUGAACGGAGCCGUAACGAACGCACCAGUUUCGUAACACAUUGAUAACCCCGGAAAUGGACCCGUCGAUUAGACGACUUCCUUCGUAGUCUUUGACGAUUUCAAACGUGAAGGAACCGACCUUUGGAAAGGACACAAACCUUUAACGUACGUCUAUGAGUCGAGCGUGAACGUUCCACAAAAGGCACCCUCCUAUCCGUAUAAUUCUCCCCGUACCUACUUGUUUUAAAGUUUCGAAGGCAGGAAGUCACCUCUUUAUGUACAAACAGUCGACGUUUAUCACGUUUUGAGAGUAUAGUUGCUCGAAACGUGGAGUGAGGAACCCUUCGAUUAUAAGUGUAACUAUGACGAUAAACAGAACUAGAGUAAACAUGGUACCUCCUCUUAUUGAGACAUCUAGGGUAACAAACCCUCGAAGGUCUUUUUUACAGUAACCCACCAAACUACGACCUUGGUCAAUUAUUCCUAAAGACCCAAUGUAACCCAAGUCAGAGUUCAUUAGUCCGAAAUUUCGUCGUAAGAGAAUAGUCCCGUGACGUCAACCUAUGCAGAGAGAGACUUCGAACCCGUAUGGAACCUUUCUAAAUGUCUGUUAGUCCAGUGUUCGUUAACCGUUCUGUUCGUAAACUAGCUCGAGCUUCGUAACUAGGUAGCAACCGGAACGGUACCCGACCUUACAGCCGUCUUUUGCUAGUGGUUAGAUCCCGACCACGUCAUUUGCUCAGAAUACUUUCAACGAACUCUCGACACGUCUAUGAUGGAGACGGUCUCAAGGUCUAACCGGAACCUUGUUAACGUCGAGCAAGGCCACUUGAAUACAGUGGAGUCCAUGAUUACCGACAUUCUGUCCGACAAGUCGCUCGCGGAGUAAUGGGUCUUAGUGUGUUAUAUUUACCGAACCAGAGACUUCACGCUAGUCUAAAAGUUAGACGUUAGUGCAGAAUGGUUGUACGCUUUAAACGAAAUCCGUACUACGCGUCUAGGUUCAACCUGUUAUCUAUAGGAAAACAACUACAAAGUCACUUAGAACGAGCCAGUGAUACAUUCCGACCAGAACGUUGACUACGUCACGCGCUCACGCUUCUCAACUUUUGUGUUCCUGACGACUUGCAACUACCUAACGUUCAUAUACGAGAACGUAACACCUUUGAACCUGCCGUACUACUUCGAGAAAGAUAUAGUGCUUUGAACCGACUUUUGAAUAGAUUAUACUUCGUCCUCUCGCGUUGACCCCGUAACCCUAAGUAUACGUGGAAUCGUAUGUUGUAUCGACCCUUCCUAAGACGUCGAAGCCAGUAAGUAUGUGAGGGACCAGUUGGGUCAAUAUUGUCUCUCAACUUUAAGUAGUAGAGACGUAAUCUACGAAACGUCGGUUCGUUCGCAAAAGUCAAUGGAGUGAACUCAUGCGGAGGAUCUGAAUGUAGGAUACUGCACUACUCACUUCAGGUGAGUUUAUAACGAGACCCCUUCCGUUAACCACCCCUUAGUUUGUUGACAAAUCCCCGGCUCCCACCAAACAGAAUGGACUUUUUCCAAGAUGUGUACAUAGGACUGACGUCAAAUCAUUCUUUGGUAGAACCUAGAGACGACGACAGCUCGCCUCUAACCUGACGAAGAGUGUUUCGUCAUUCCCAAUGAAGCAACAGGGUACCCGUGUGUAGGUUAUCCCCGGAUUCCAGAGGCGUAGUUUAAGUUCGAACACGUUGUUACAGAACGAUACGAUGGACGUGGAGAAUAGGUUUCAAGAGUAAGGGUUGUACACUUCUGGUCAUGGAUUCGGUUAUGUUACCUUAUACGUUGGACGUUUCCAACCAGGUAGUUCUUGGUACCUUGGUUCUACGUGCGAUGAACGAACACGAACGAUAAAAGGUCUUUCGUGCACUUCUCUUCAUGGGGUUUGUAUAAACACGGUGAAACUUCUCCGACCAAAAUGUUUAAUACAGGUCGUCAUCGUUAAGUGUUCUCGUAUUUGAGUAGGAAAUACUCUUCAUGAACGAUGAAGAAAACAGAAGUCUCCAAUCAAACGUUAGACUACUGAUACUUUUGCCGUAGCGAGUUCAAUGUCUACGAGAUUCUCAACGAGGAGGCUCACACCUAUGAAAGAAACGUGUGAACGUUGACACAGCCCGAAUACACCACGUUCCGCUAGAAAGCUUGAGGUCCUUCCUUAUGUACUUUACGAACGUCUUGGCGUGCUUAUGACUCCAACCGACCCAUUGCGAGUUCGUUGAACUUAGAAAUACAAAUCACUUGGCACCGAGACUACUUUAUCUCUAUUUAGACUUUCUUACGUAACUUUCCUUACCAUCGAAGGGUAGUUUUACCCGACGAGAAAAGUUAGAUCGUACACGAGUCACAAAAUACGCCCUACUCCUGAAACGUUCACGACUUUUUCGAGAACGUGUUCGUACACGACUUUUCCUACGACUAUCGACGUAGAAUAAGGAGUUACCUCGAUACGUAUACCUCUAACGGGCAUCCAUACGUCGAGGAGUCAUAUAUUGGGCGCGUCGAAGCUCGGAGUCUUUCCGUGUCGUCUUCAGAGUUCGACGGCAUGGGUAGUAUAGUGAGGAUGACCGGGUUCGUCUUCCGUCGGAGCCGAGGUUUCGGUUCACCCUCUUCUUGGAAGCGGAGCUCACCAAGAGAACCGGGGGUCUUGACGCCGGACGACUCGAGAUGAAGGUUUACGUGGACGACCGCUCGGUCAGCUGACGCCAUCCAGGAGUCGUCUUCUUUGACGUUGACCACCUCUGCUACGUCUCAGGGCCCCGCACCGAAGACUCCCGCUAUGUGGUCUUGGGCAGAACGAGGUCCAUGACCUUCCGAAACGACGUCGAACACACGCACAUCGGAGGAACUGGGCCGGCCUUCAGUCAGUGGUCAGAACAUCGACUCUGCCCGCAUGGACUUAGUGUACAUCGCAUAAUAAACAAACAGCUCGUGUGGAUAAACCCUACUUGGGCACUCCACGAGAUCGCUUCACAUAAACAACGACACUUGAAAUAGUUCAUGAUCUAGGAUGAGAGUGUUUGGAACGUUUAGCAUUGGACAUUGUAAACUUUGUACUACUACCAGGAAAACCUAUGUCUUCUUUUACCAUGCCUCUUGCUCGCAGUCACGUUG
rnacentral:rRNA from 1 species